GAAUAUUGGACAAUGGGGGGAACCCUGAUCCAGCCAUGCCGCGUGUGUGAAGAAGGCCUUUUGGUUGUAAGGCACUUUAAGCGAGGAGGAGGCUACUCUAGUUAAUACCUAGAGAUAGUGGACGUUACUCGCAGAAUAGGCACCGGCUAACUCUGUGCCAGCAGCCGCGGUAAUGCAGAGGGUGCAAGCGUUAAUCGGAUUUACUGGGCGUAAAGCGCGCGUAGGUGGCCAAUUAAGUCAAAUGUGAAAUCCCCGAGCUUAACUUGGGAAUUGCAUUCGAUACUGGUUGGCUAGAGUAUGGGAGAGGAUGGUAGAAUUCCAGGUGUAGCGGUGAAAUGCGUAGAGAUCUGGAGGAAUACCGAUGGCGAAGGCAGCCCCCUGGGAUAAUACUGACGCUCAUGCACGAAAGCGUGGGGAGCAAACAG
rnacentral:rRNA from 1 species